GGGUCACAAUAGAGAGGGCUCACUCAGAGAGAGUAGAUUGGAGCCAUAGGAGAACAAAGCGGUCACAUUUCUUUCAGUUGAUGAACUCCGGAUUAGGAUCAGUGGCAGCAGGGGUAGCCGGAAUUGCUGGAGUAUCGGCAAUAGUAGGAGUUCCUGUGGUGGCUGGAACUUCAAUUUUUUCUGAGGGUGGCUGUGGAUCGAGGAUAAAGUUAGCUAGGUCAAAGGUUUCAAGAGCAGCGAUGAUGGUGGUACGCCAAAGAGGAUAGUUUUCUCGCUCUAGCUUGAUUGCAAUUGAGGGAAUUUGAAGAUUGAAAGUAGAAGCGGUGGUGGUCGCAAGAGUGAGAAGGUGGGGGGGGGGGGGGGGGGGGUACCUGUGGCCACUUGCUUACAAUUUACGAGAGAGAAAAAAAAUUUAAGAACUUUAUGAGAGGCUAUACAUAGGAAUCAACUGAAACUCAAAGAUAUACUCCUACCUCUAUGGUUUGACUAAGCUGACUUUUGACUCUACUAUGAACACGUUUUUAAUAUUUGCUAAUACUGAGUAUAUCCAUCUCCGUUGGUUCAUAAUCAGUGAGCUCUCUCUCUCUCUCUCUCUCUCUCUCUCUCUCAUUUUUCUAAAUUUGUCAAAUCGAUUUGUCUACGUUUUACCACUACUGAAUCACUUGUUGGUCCUCAAUCGAUUUCUACGAUUAGUUGAGUUUCUUUUGCUUUCUGUAAAGUUUUAAUUGUUGAUUUCUAUUAUGCUGAGUAAUUUGUUCUGAUUUUUGUGAAGUCUGCAUAUCAUUGGUUCAUCAUUCUUUCUGAUUUUUGCUGAUACCUGAUUGUCGAAUCUUCAACUCUACAUAGCUUCAAUUCAUCACUCGCCAGUUCUAAUUUUUGUUGAGACUUCAUAUUUGAUCAGUUGAUUGUUCAUUUGUUCUUGGAUUGUAAAUCAAUUUCAAAUUGUUUCUAAAUUCUGAAAUCGUGUUGAUUGUUUCUGAAUUCUUGCUGAUUGCAAUUGUAACCACUAAUAAUAUCAUUUGUCAUCUGUGUUUUUCUCUAUGAAAGAGAGUAUUGUCAGAUGCUUAGGCUAUAGAUAAUGCUCAAAAAUCGUAUGCAUGGCAAAAGCUGAAUCGAGAAGGCUAUAAACCUUUUGCUAGAAUGUAUGUGGAUAUUUUAAUUGUUUUAUUAUUAGUGCUUACAACAGCUGGUGCAUGCUCAGAUGGCAAGUUUUUUCUUUGUGGUGGAAGAGACACCUUGUGGGUGUUUCCAUAAUGCUCUCUACUUCCUUCAGUUAUAUCAACAUUGUCUUUACCCUCAUUUCAAAGCCUUUAUCUCAUGUUGGACAAGAGCAUUUGUAACUUAUUCUGUAGCAGUUACUUUUUUAAAUGGAAUUAUCUUUUUAUACUCUUUUAUAAGUUGAUUAUUCUGACAUGCAUUUUCUUUCGAGUUAUGUUACUAUUAAUACUAACAAUUUCUAUAUUGCAUUAGUGGUAAAGCUGCGGGGAAAAGGUAUAGGUGUUCAUGCUCUAUCGUGCAGUUAUUGGAUUGCUGGAUUUAUAGGUUUUUAACUGUAUAAAAGCAAGGUCACUAGUUUAUGUUGAUGGUACUGUUCGAAAUUGAUGUGGCUUCUGCACCUGAGGUUAAAUACAAGGAUGUAAGGAGAAUCGAUCAACUUCCAAUUCAUAUUACAAUAUUGAAAUAAAGGAUGCGUAUGUUACUCUAUGGAUACUUAGUUGUAAUUAAGAUGCCAUAUGCAGGUGGUAGCUGCCAUGUGCUUAACAUUCCCUUAUGUUAGCAAAGUAGUCAUGAAAUACACUAGUUCUAGUAAUGUUUUGUAAAGAAAAGAUGAGCAAGUUUCAAGAUAAUAGAACCACAUUUAUUGGAAGCUAAUAUGAGGUUUGAUUGAUUGUAUUGGAUUCAGUUAUUUUAAUUUUAUUCAAACAUUAUCACUUAAAUAA